GAAUGUUUUACAGACUGCAUUGCUAUGGACAGCAUAUAUUAUUUAUGGACUGCAUUGCAAUUUUAGGCAAGUAAAACAGGGGAUGUAGCAACAACAGAUACUGUUAUGAAUGGGUUAACUGAAGAGAACAUUUAGAAGCCUUUGUUCACUAGAACUGAUAUGCAGAAAGGCUUUGUUAAUUCUUUGAGGAUGUUCAUCAUUAGUUUGUCUUCUUAUCUUUUUAUUUCAUUAUCCAUGUUCUCCUGAAGGACAGGCGUACCUUGUGUCCCAGGUUGCUCAUGUGAAAAGGGACACUUGCAAUUCCUGAAAGGAUGAGGGUUCUCACUUGUUUUCUGGUUGCUGGAAUUGUUGGCUGCAGGUCUAGCAGGCCUGAAGCACACAUGAUGGGAUGGCAUAAGCAGAGGCUUUGCUCAGCAAGAAGCCAAAGGUGUGCUGGAAGAUUGAGCUUCAGUGGUGGACUCACAUUCAGAACCUAGUAUCCACAAAAAUACAGGCAAACCAUCCUGUUUAUAAAUUCUAUACCUUCUC
rnacentral:lncRNA from 1 species